rnacentral:rRNA from 1 species
UACAGAGACCUCAAGCGUUAUCCGGAAUCAUUGGGCGUAAAGCGUACCGAUCGGUGGUGUAACAAGUCAGAGGUGAAAUCUUCAGGCUCAACCUGGAGACUGUCCUUUGAAACUGUUACGCUAGAAGGGCAAAGAGGAAGCUGGAACAAACGGUGUAGUAGUGAAAUGCGUUGAUAGUCGUUUGGAACACCAAUAGCGAAGGCAGGCUUCUGGGUGCC